GGAAAACGAGCGGGAGCUGCGCAUAACUUGCAAGCAAAGUGGGGAGAAAAUAAAGGCACGAAAGAAAAAGGAAAAGAAAACCGUUCCCCUUUCUCUUUCUCUAGCGAGUCUCUCGAGUUUUAUUUUUAUUAUUUCGAUCGAUUUUCUCUCUGCAACUAACCAGAAAAUAACUUACAACAAUUAAGUGCAUAAAAGCAAAAAGGAAUUAGGUUUUAUUCAUUUCCACUGCAAUAUUUCUUGGAGAAAUGGACGAUGAGGUUGUUCAGCGAGUUCUUCAAGAAGGAGGCCGUGAUUUUUUCCAACAACCACCCUCCACUUCCUCCAUCCUCCAAUCCCUCCCUCUCCAUGCGUCUUUUGAUCGUGGAUUUUACUUGUUAGUAAAAUCCAUUCAAGAGCUCAGAGAGAGAAAGGAGGGUCUUGUUACUGUUGGCAUUGGUGGUCCUAGCGGUUCGGGCAAAACAAGCUUAGCAGAGAAGGUAGCAUCUGUAAUUGGUUGCACUGUUAUAUCAAUGGAGAAUUAUCGAUAUGGAACUGAUGAUGGGAAUGAUUUGGAUUCAAUUGAUUUUGAUGCAUUAGUCCAUAAUCUUGAGGAUUUGAUGAAAGGUAAAGACACUUCUAUACCAGUGUUUGAUUAUCAACAGAAGAGACGUGUUGGUUCAAAGAGAAUAAACAGUGUUUCAUCUGGAGUGGUAAUAGUUGAUGGUACUUAUGCUUUGCAUGCAAGAUUGCGCUCUUUGCUUGAUAUUCGGGUGGCUGUGGUUGGUGGAGUUCAUUUUAGUCUUCUUUCCAAAGUUCGAUAUGACAUAGGAGAUUCUUGUUCUUUGGAUUACCUUAUCGACAGUAUUUUCCCUUUGUUUAGAAAACACAUUGAGCCAGAUCUUCAUCAUGCACAGAUUAGGAUAAACAACAGCUUUGUAUCUUCAUUUAGAGAAGCAAUUUACAAGUUGAAAUGCAGGAGUGAGUCUCCAGAUGUGUCUGCUUAUGCCUUUCAAGGAGCAGAGCCACAAAUAGAUAAUUUUAUUGAGAUGUACCUUAGGGCACCAUCAGCAAGUGAAGAAGCACGAAUCAGUGACUGGAUUAAGGUGCGGCAAUCUGGUAUUAAAUACUAUCUGUCACUUGGGGAUCAGAGGAUUGUUGAUAAAAAUUUCAUUAUCAGGCCAAAAGCUGAGUUUGAGGUUGGAAGAAUGACUCUUGGUGGUUUGUUGGCUUUGGGGUAUACUGUUGUAGUCAGUUACAAACGAGCAUCUACUUCUGUCAGUAAUGGCAAUCUUUCAAUGUCACUGGAGACAAUUGAUACCCUUGGCGAGACAUUUAUGGUGCUGAGGGGCAUGGAUAGAAAAACUGUUGGAGCAGAAGCAUCAAGGAUGGGUGUGAAUGGACCAUGGAUCACCAAGUCAUAUCUGGAACUGAUUCUUGAGAGAAAAGGGGUGCCACGUUUGAGCACGCCACCACCUGUGUCCAAUACUUCCAUGACUAGUAAUCAAGACAGAUUGAUUGCUGCCCCAAGGCCUAUCCGUACUACUCCAAAUCUAGUUAUUCGGCUUGAGGAUCUAUCUCAGCCAUGGACUCGGUCCCCAACAAAAUCUCAAAUGGAACCUCUUGUAGCAACAUGGCAAUUCAUGCCAUUGGAUUCGCCACAUACUGGAAGUUCAGUUGUAGAUCCUUCCUCUUUCAGGGAUACCAUGAAGCUUGUUCCAAUGUCUGAUUCAUAUGACUUGGAUAGAGGACUGCUUCUUGCUGUUCAAGCAAUACAGGCUUUGUUGGAGUAUAAAGGUCCUCCUGUCAUAGUUGGAAUUGGAGGUCCAAGUGGGUCUGGAAAAACUAGCCUGGCUCAUAAAAUGGCAAAUAUUGUUGGUUGUGAAGUAGUUUCCCUUGAAAGCUACUUUAUAUCUGAACAAGUGAAAGAUUUUAAGCAUGAUGAUUUUCGCUCUCUUGAUCUAUCCGUGCUGGCAAAGAAUAUCAAUGACAUAAGGAGUGGCAGAACUGCUAAAGUGCCCAUAUUUGAUUUGGAGACUGGUGCUCGUAGUGGCUUCAAGGAACUUGAUGUUUCUGAAGACUGUGGUGUGAUUAUUUUUGAGGGUGUUUAUGCUCUACACCCAGAAAUUCGGGACUCACUUGACUUGUGGAUUGCUGUUGUUGGGGGUGUGCAUUCACAUCUGAUUUCUCGGGUUCAAAGGGACAAAAGUAGAGUGGGGUGCUUUAUGUCCCAAAAUGACGUCAUGAUGACAGUGUUUCCAAUGUUCCAGCAGCAUAUUGAGCCCCAUCUUGUUCAUGCGCAUCUUAAAAUUCGGAAUGACUUUGACCCAGUGCUUUCCCCUGAGAGUUCAUUAUUUGUUUUGAAGAGUAACAAGCAGGUGGCUUAUCAAGACAUUGUAAAAAUCAUUGAUCCUGCAAAGUUAUGUAGAUCUGUUCAGAAUUUCAUUGAUAUAUAUUUAAGGCUCUCUGGAAUUCCUACUAAUGGACAGUUGACAGAGAAUGACUGCAUACGUGUCAGAAUUUGUGAGGGUAGAUUUGCAUUGCUUAUACGGGAGCCAAUAAGAGAAGGGAAUUUCAUCAUCCAACCUAAAGUGGAUUUCGAUAUUAGCAUUAGUACUGUUGCUGGUCUUCUUAACCUUGGGUAAGCUGUUUACUUAUAGUAGAAUACAAUGCUUAUUAAUGUUGUUUUCAUUGCCUGCUUUUCAUCCUUAGAUGAGACAAAAGCUACUAUUUAUUUGUUUGAACUUAUUUUGUAACACUGGAUACACAAACCAUACAUGUAUGGCUGUCUGUGCUCAAGCAAGAAAGAGGGGGGAGGAAGGUGAUCUCCAUCCAAUACAAGUCUUCUGUUCUGCUAAGCUAUCCCCCUUUUCUUUCUCUGUUCAAACUGUGCAAUCUGCAUCAAGAUCCAUUUGUCACAUUUCCCCAACAUUAGCUUCUUUCCAACUUGCACAUGUUUAUUAAUACAUGGCUCCAAAACGAAGGAAAUAAUCGAAUUUUAAUUGCAGAUUUUAAAUGCUGCAAAGGAAUUAUGUAGAAUAACAAGUGCAGUGGUUUAUAUUUGUGAAGAAGUUUCAGAAAAGGAGUGAAUUUAGAGAAUAUUGUGUCCGUGACUUAAUAUAAGGGAGCUGAUAUGCUCAAAAUCUCUUCACUGUGGUACCUCUUGAGAUCCAUAUCUUUGUUUAUCAUCAUAACAUUGAGAGAAAUUCUCCAUUUUGGUAUGAAGAUGGAGAAAAAUAAUUUGCAUCUUCAAGUAUUAAAUGCAUAUAUAGUCAUAAACAUAUAUCUUUCUUUUGAAAACUUAAAUAAUUUGCAUCCUAAAAGAUGCUGUUGCGCGCUUAGUUCUGCCUUUUAAUGCUUCACUGCUGAUAUUCUACUUGUAAGACAUUGAAAUGUUGUGUUUUAUUGUUUUAUUAUGUCAGGUAUCAAGCUGUAGCUUACAUUGAAGCCUCUGCAUUUAUCUACCAAGAUGGGAAGGUUAUAUAUGUGGAUAUCUUUAUUUCUCUCCAUUUUUUUUGCCAUCACGUCAUUUCUUCAUGCAGUUGAGCAUGGCUUGUGUCAUAUGGGAUUAACCAGUAAUCCAAUAUUGACUUGAUACUCUCAGUUGAUCAUCCUGGCUACCAUUUAGUUUGGUUUUCAUUAUAUUACCAUUGUCAUCAAUUGUUGUUGCUAUUAUAGUGAUGAUUAUAAUAUAUUUUUUGACCCAUGUUUUGCUUGUUGGGAUGUGCUGAGACUGAUUAUAAGUAAGAUUCUUGGUGGCUUGGCGAAUCCCUAGCUUUGGCGCCUCUAUUGUUGUAUCAUUUUAUGCAACUUGGUUUCUGUUUUCUUAUUGCUUGUUAUUGGUGUAGCCUAAAUAUUUAAAUUUGUUUCUGACUCUUAGAUUCUCGUUGAGGUUGAUCAUCUAAAAGAUGCCCCUAGUCCCUAUUUACAGAUUAAAGGGGUUAAUAAAGAUGCAGUCGCAGCUGCUGGCUCAACACUUAAACUGGAUGGUUCAUAUACAACCAAGGUUUUGCUUUGAGUUUUUUUUACAUGCCAUAGUCAUUGUCUGUUUGUAUUGUUAGCGGUAUCUUCAGCAAUGGGAUAACUUAUGUCUUCAUCAUUAACUGACUGGCUCUUUUUUUAUAAGAGUUAUCUACAAAUCAUUUUGGAGAUGGUGCCGGCAACAGAACAAAGUUCCAGUGGAAUUCACACACAGCAAACUGCAAGAUUGCAGGAACUCGUUGAAUUUAUACAAUAUCAGGUAUAUUACUAUGAUUUAGUGUAUGAUAAACAAUUGAGUGUGAAAAUUUUAUUUUUAGAUGAACAACAAUGGAAUUAAGGUGGAUCUUUUGGAAUCUAAUAUGCUGUACUAGACAUGGAUGUAAUGAGAGAGGGCUGGGUUCUCUUAUUACCAUGCUUAAUGAGAAGACAAAAACCUCAUUUUGUCUCUUAUCUUCAUUUUCUGUGAAGUAGCAUUGGAUCUACCUCAUUUUACUCAUAUAUGUGAGAAUUCACAAGUCUGUUGUAGCCCUGUGGAUGUUUUGCUUGUGCCCCUAGUUUCUGAACAUGACAUAUGACAGAGCUUUACUGGCACAGCCACCAUGUUCAAAGUGGUUCAUACUAUGGAUGUUGGUGUAAUUAUAAAUUCAAGUGAGAAAAAGAACAUUAUAUUCAAAGUAUAGGGCCUAAAACUUUUGCAGAUUUUAAGUCUGCAGAUGAAGAAAUGUUUAAAAAAUAGUUGCUAUAGCAUAACGAAUCAUGAUGGUGGUGGUGGCAAUCGAAUAGCAUGGUGAAAGAUAUCACUGAAAGAAAAGAAGGCUUAUUCAACAUCUACUAUUGUUUGUUUCAGUUGAUUAUCUACUGAUAUUUGAGUGUUGCUAUUAGAGGUGCCUUCUACAGAAACUUUACUUUUUUAACUUUGUUUUUUGUCUUCUUAACCAUAGGAUGGUGUCUCCAAUUCAUUAAGGGUAGUUAUUACUAAUGUAGACUUUGUCAAAAACAAUGUCAUCCUAAAAUCUUCCGAUAUUUUAUAUUCCAAUAUUCUAAUGUUAAGCUCAUACAAGAGGGACAUGGAAGCAUUUUUGCAAGUUGAUCUCUGAAUAUUUUCCAGUUUGAAUGGUGCAUUUCCUUAAUAUUAUUUUAACUUGUCUAACAAGAAGAAAAAAAAUAAUACUAUGGCCAAAUUGACAGGGAAACAGCUCAGCUUCAGAAUCCUCACCAAUUAGGGAGGCGGCUCCUAUAGAGGGCAUAAUUGAAGAUAUGCAAUCUAGAAUCAAGAGGCUGGAAAGAUGGCAGACCAUCAAUAC
rnacentral:misc_RNA from 1 species